GCAGCCUAGCAUCACUUUAGAUAGGAGCAGAAUGGAUGACUUAAACUGAAAGUAAGUUCUCCGGAUCGAUAUAUCGUACGACGUAAUGGAGAUCUUGAUCUAGAUCCGGUGCUUCGCAGAAUUCGGGACCUAACGAUGUUCGGUUCGUCACAUGAACUGAACGGUAAUAGUCUAUUACCCCUCUCACUUCGUUCGAGCUGAAUUACAUCCACCCUCU
rnacentral:lncRNA from 1 species